CGCGGAUGUAGCAAUACAUCUGGCGGCGAGCGGCGGACGGGUGAGGAAUGCGUCGGAAUCUGCCUCUUUGUGGGGGAUAACGUAGGGAAACUUACGCUAAUACCGCAUACGACCUACGGGUGAAAGUGGGGGACCGCAAGGCCUCACGCAGAGAGAUGAGCCGACGCCGGAUUAGCUAGUUGGCGGGGUAAAGGCCCACCAAGGCGACGAUCCGUAGCUGGUCUGAGAGGAUGAUCAGCCACACUGGAACUGAGACACGGUCCAGACUCCUACGGGAGGCAGCAGUGGGGAAUCUUGGACAAUGGGGGCAACCCUGAUCCAGCCAUGCCGCGUGAGCGAUGAAGGCCUUAGGG
rnacentral:rRNA from 1 species